rnacentral:rRNA from 1 species
CAGCGUUACGAUUCGCCCUUUUCCGGUUGAUCCCGCCGGACCCGACUGCUAUUGGGGUGAGGCUAAGCCAUGCGAGUCAGCGCUUCUAGCCAUGAUGGAGCGCGGCAUACGGCUCAGUAACAUGUGGUUAAUCUAUCCUCAGGACGGGGACACCCUCGGGAAACUGAGGCUGAACCCAGAUAGAUAAUGGAUCCUGGAAUGGUCUUUUAUCGAAAUGAUACGCGACUCAUGCGUCAUGUGUCGCCUGAGGAUGAGACCGCACCCUAUCAGGUAGUUGGUGGGGUAACGGCCCACCAAGCCUAUAACGGGUACGGGCCCUGAGAGGGGGAGCCCGGAGAUGGGCACUGAGACAAGGGCCCAGGCCCUACGGGGCGCAGCAGGCGCGAAACCUCUGCAAUGCACGAAAGUGCGACAGGGCCACCCCGAGUGCUAGGCGCUGAGUCUAGCUUUUCCCGAGUGUAGUAAGCUCGGGGAAUAAGCGGGGGGCAAGCCUGGUGUCAGCCGCCGCGGUAAUACCAGCUCCGCGAGUGGUCGGGACGAUUAUUGGGCCUAAAGCGUCCGUAGCCGGUCUAGCAAGUCUUUGGUUAAACUUCAAGGCCUAACCUUGAGAUUGCUGGAGAUACUGCUAGACUAGGGGGCGGUAGAGGUUG